rnacentral:lncRNA from 1 species
AUGGGGUCUGCGGCGGCGGCUGACCCGGCCGCAAGCGCCAGCCGUCCCCAGCAGGAAGCCGCGGCGGGCGAGCAGGGCAGGCGAUGGGGAGCUGGGGAGCAAGAGGUUAUCAGCGUGGAGGAGCUUGCGGAACUUGAGAGUAUUAUUGGAAGGGAAAAAAAGAGGAGGUAUAUACUACGCCAGCACUGCGCGUGCCCUGCUCUGGCGCGGAUGCGCAACCCCCACCCCCAACCC